CAGGAAAUAAUGCUUACUUGUUUUUCGGAUAUAAAGAUGCAUUUAGAUCGCUAGUCUGUGGUUUCCCAAGAGCAAAUACCGUAUUCCCAAUGGCUUGUGAAUUUUCAAUGGUAGAAAGGUAAAGUGUGGGUUUGUGGUUCAUGGCAAUGCUUCAAAGCUCCUCCUUCAUUAAAUCUCGUCUCAAGGAGUGGCUUAAAGGUUGAUGAAAUUUAAGAUUCAGAGUAUCACUUUACGCAAACAUAUUGGACGACUUGCGAAAGGCCCAGGAAUUCAAUGAUGUCAUUAUUCAUAGCACAGACACUGUAAUUCUUUAGGCAAUGCUGAAAAAAUAGUCUAUGGUUUUUGCCAGUAAUAGAGGACAGUACGAAAGGGUGAUAUGGUGAAUUCAACGAGGUUAUGGAGGAAAUUAUGGAAACGAAUUAUCAAGAGACCAGCCCCACAAGUUGGAACAUGUUCGCAAAGCAGAAUUUAAUGGAACGGCGGAUAAAAACCUCACUACCGCAUCACACAAAAAGGGGAUAAAGCAAGAAGACAACCAACCACAGUGAUUUAUCCUCAAUUUUGCUUCAUG